GAUGAACGCUGGCGGCGUGCCUAAUACAUGCAAGUCGAGCGAAUGGAUUAAGAGCUUGCUCUUAUGAAGUUAGCGGCGGACGGGUGAGUAACACGUGGGUAACCUGCCCAUAAGACUGGGAUAACUCCGGGAAACCGGGGCUAAUACCGGAUAACAUUUUGAACCGCAUGGUUCGAAAUUGAAAGGCGGCUUCGGCUGUCACUUAUGGAUGGACCCGCGUCGCAUUAGCUAGUUGGUGAGGUAACGGCUCACCAAGGCAACGAUGCGUAGCCGACCUGAGAGGGUGAUCGGCCACACUGGGACUGAGACACGGCCCAGACUCCUACGGGAGGCAGCAGUAGGGAAUCUUCCGCAAUGGACGAAAGUCUGACGGAGCAACGCCGCGUGAUUGAUAAAGGCUUUCGGGUCGUAAAACUCUGUUGUUAGGGAAGAACAAGUGCUAGUUGAAUAAGCUGGCACCUUGACGGUACCUAACCAGAAAGCCACGGCUAACUACGUGCCAGCCGCCGCGGUAA
rnacentral:rRNA from 1 species